GAGUCGAGAUUGAACGGUUUCGAAUGAGGGAAAUGAAUCUUGACGUGAGGGAGGUGGUGCAUCAGGCGCUCGCACAAUCUGGGUGGUACACUGCACCCAUGUUGCUGACCGCUUCGAUCAGGCGGCGAACAGUUCCUUCAGCGACACAGCUUUUGGCGAGGACAUUUGGGUGAUCUGUACCCGCAACGGCGCGUCCGGUAUCGCAUUCUGAAUUUCAAAGAACUGAUGGGCCUGUAUAUGCCGAAUAGCUUGGACAUCUUGUACUUCGGGAACCUGAUCAUCGGGCCAGGUUCUGUUCAACGACCCGCGUGCUCAGCCUGUGGUGAGUUCGUUCGAGAGCUUGCAGGCAUCCAUGCGUAAGGUUGGGCGGAUCCGAUGGCUAUGUGAGGUGCUCAUCCAUUCAGCUUCCUGAUCUUUGGAGCUGUCCCCAACAGCAGACUCGCAGUAGUACCCAUUGUGCGGAUCAUCGCAGUCCUUAGUGAGUGUCUCCUAGUGCCGUUUAGUAAGUAUUGUGAAGGAGUACUUUCGUUAGAUUGAUAAGUACUGACAGAUUUCAAGAGUUUUCAUGUGAGCAACCUGAAAAUUCUAAAACUGAUUUUACAAGGCCUCGAGAGGCGUACUAGUCACAAUUUUGGAGAGGUGCAUAGACUGCGAUUCGUUUACAAAAGAAUAACAUUUCUGGCUUACUCUGGUGUGUUGACUCGACGUUACCAUGUACUGUGUGCGUUGUUGUUAUUUAUCAACCUUUCAAGUUCGUCAAACUUGUAGGAUGACUAAUUAUUCCGAGAGAUUUCGAGUUCCGCAUACAUAAAGUCUUCAGCUACUUGUCGGUGACAUAAUGCAAGCUUAUAGUUGAACGGCCAACUGCUUCUUGAUUGCGGGUUCCAUUUUGGGAGGCAAUAAAGAUUGGAUACAUACUCGCCAAUUUAACGGA